rnacentral:rRNA from 1 species
AGUCGAGCGCGAAUAGGGGCAACCCUUAGUAGAGCGGCGCACGGGUGCGUAACACGUGGAUAAUCUGCCUGGAUGCUCGGGAUAACCAGUCGAAAGAUUGGCUAAUACCGGAUAAGCCCACGGUUUCUUCGGAGACUGAGGGAAAAGGUGGCCUCUGUAUACAAGCUAUCACAACCAGAUGAGUCCGCGGCCCAUCAGCUAGUUGGCGGGGUAAUGGCCCACCAAGGCGACGACGGGUAGCUGGUCUGAGAGGACGAUCAGCCACACUGGAACUGAGACACGGUCCAGACUCCUACGGGAGGCAGCAGUGGGGAAUUUUGCGCAAUGGGCGAAAGCCUGACGCAGCAACGCCGCGUGUGUGAUGAAGGUCUUUGGAUUGUAAAGCACUUUCGACCGAGAAGAAAACCCGUUGGCUAACAUCCAACGGCUUGACGGUAUCGGGAGAAGAAGCACCGGCUAACUCUGUGCCAGCAGCCGCGGUAAUACAGAGGGUGCAAGCGUUGUUCGGAAUUAUUGGGCGUAAAGCGCGUGUAGGCGGCGUGACAAGUCGGGUGUGAAAGCCCUCAGCUCAACUGAGGAAGUGCGCCCGAAACUGUCGUGCUUGAGUGCCGGAGAGGGUGGCGGAAUUCCCC